GGCAGAGUGGAGCAGUGGUAGCUCGCGAGGCCCAUAACCUCGAGGCCGCCGGUUCGAAUCCGGCCUCUGCAACCA
rnacentral:tRNA from 1 species